AAUCAAUAACAAAAACCGAUGUCGCACCGAAAGUGUACCCCCCCCCCUCCCUCAAAACACCAAACCAUCCGCCAUAACUUCAGCGCAAACUAGUAUGGGGCUAAAGGGAUAGCCAAAGCCCGAGAACUGAGGAACUCUGGAUACCAGAGGGACACCCCUCAGAACCCCUAAACAAAAAUCAAAAUCAAAAUCGAUUUAAUGGAUGACAACCGGCACUAGGAUUAUCAUCAUGAGAGCCGAAAUCCAACCAAAUCGUUAAGUUUUAAGAAAAGAAAUUACUAAAAGUCAAUAUAUCUACUAUUUUUUAUUGUGAUAGGACAAAACAAAAGUGAGAUGACACGUUUCCCACGAACAUCAGCUGGGCCGCUGAUGUUCGUUGAUAUUUCCGCACAACUUCGCAACAUCAUCCACGUGAACAUGUUUAAUUCGUAGAAGAGGCAGUGAUUGCCCUGUUGUUAAAGUCUGCAGUAUUUAUGGAUCUUGAACAGUCAAAUCAUCAUUUCUAGAUUUCGGUCUUCCCUAUGGAAAUGGAAUCUUGCAACUUUGCAAAAUUAAUACUGGCAGCAAUUAAUGAAGCUCGAAAUAACAAGAGAAUUGUUGACAUCAUUAAUAUCAAGUGAUUUAGCCUUAAUCAGUGGGAACUGGAAGAGUAUCACAAUGGACAUUAAGACUGGCAGCAUCAGCGAAUGAAUCUAUCGAAAUGGGGUACGACAUCGUCAAGAUGAUGCGUUUUUUAGUCAGUGGAGGACGUUCCGGCCUGAGCACCGCCACGGGCUCUAAAGUAUGAAAGACGAAACAUCUGUGGAAACCGCUUGAUGGCCUCUACUGUACAAGGCUACGUUACUUCAUAUCCGCCGUUGUUAGCAACUAUUACAGGUAUGAUGUUUGCGGAGGCUGACUGCCUGUUGGCAUUCACCACCAGGAUGCAACCACGUGAAAUUGAGACACUUUACCUGAGGCAAACAGGUGACACAUUUGCUACUAUUCGAGUAGGUGCGUUGGAGAAGAGGGAAGGAAUGAGAAAGGAACCUCAUAAAGGUCGACCUUUUGCUAGUCCCUCCCCUUAAAACGUCAGCAUUUUGAAAGUUCAUUUAAUAGCGGCGGUUCUUCUCUUCAGUGGUUCACGUGUUGACCGUUGUUUGGCCGACCCCCUUCCUUAUGUCGCUGUUUCUUGCGUCAACAUUCAAUUUCUACAUGUUUGAACGGGCUCAGCAGUCAAACGAAAGCCAUUUAAAGGUUUUGAAAGAUUUAAACAUUCUUCUAGGUAAAGGUAAGCCUGUGAUGGAGGUGAUACAUUGUGUUCAACUGGGCUCAGUAUAUACGCUUGAAACCGGCUAUCUCCAUUUCAAGUCGAGAGGUAACAAGGAGAUGUGUACGGGCAAUUCGGCGUGGUUUGUUUACCUUUCAUAGUGGUAAACACUUUUGCCCUUACUUCGUGUCAAUAAUGGCGUAGUUUUUGUUGACCGAUCGUCCAUUCAUGGCCCGCUAGUUGCAACUAGAUUUACGUAUACAGAGCAAACGACACAGCGUGAAUGUUUCGGUACGGAAGAAUAAAAGACAAGUCAAAUACCAGAGUUGGGAGUAGCUCACUGAUUUGAGAGCGCACUCAGAGCUUUCCGUUCAGUGCUGAAAAGUGAGCGUAGCUCAGCUCUCGCUCGCAAAAAAAAAAAAAAGUGAGCGCUCUCGCGCUCUUCGCUCACGUACAAAAAAUGCAAUAUGAAAUCUGUAUAUUUCCGUCUUCAUUUUGGCAUUACAACUGCAUUACAACUUACUUAAAAGAUGAAUCCUACGGGUUCUUACUGGAAUUCCCGGUUUUUUUUCAAAACUAAUUUGUCAAGUAAUUUCCAAAGUAUGCAUUUGGAAAUAUUCCGUCAUCCAAUUAGUUUUACAUAUUGACCGCUAUAGACAGUCAUUGAGCUUCCGCUCAGGAGGUCUUCGCUCGCGCUCCCGCUCACGUUUUUCCAGUUUGAGCGACUUCGCUCGUCGCUCUGAGCGCCGCUCUGAGCGCCGCUCAGAGCGCGCUCCCCCCAACCCUGUCAAAUACAAACACCAUUUUUAUACAUCAGCAAAUAAAGGUAUACACGGUUUGUUUGAGUACCUGAUUUGUCGCAGUAAAUUAAUUUGGCUUAAACAAGGGAGAUUGAACUUGCUUUAAAAUUAUUGCACAGUAUUUGAGCAAAGUUGGUUGAAGGUGCUAAUGUUAAAUCUUGCGGAUAAUCUUCGAAAUCCACGUAUUCUUUCUUCAAGAUGAAUUCCAAUAUUGCAAUGACAUUCUGCCGUACGGCAACCGCUGUGUCGACCAAAUGUUCUUUGGUGAAUUUAAUAUCUCGUGGAUUUCGUUGGUGUUUAUUCAAAAGGAAAUCUUUAUUCCUGGCUCGCUGGAUGACGAUGACAUAUUCAUUGUUCAAUUGUUUUGAAAAUGACCGAACUUGUUCGAACGACCAGUAAGUUUUCUUGUUGGUCUCACAAAUCACCAAAUAACAAGUUGGAUAAAAAGAAUGGCCAUUCUUUUUUGAAUUCGUAAUGGUCAGAAGAAAGAAGAGAGCCAUCAAGACACCGAAAAAAAUAAUGUUCCCUGGGAAAAUCGAAAGCUCACUAAAACCUGUCCUGAAGCAAAUUAUUCCCACACUUAUAGCUGCAACAGCAAGAAAAAUUUUCUUGUAAUGAAAGUUGAGAAAUAAGAAAGAAGAAAGAAAGAAGAUCAAGAUUAAAGGCGAGUUAUUUGGCGCAUGUUUUACUAAAAUAUAACCGAUUACGACUAUGCUGAAACCUAGCAAAAAUAAUGGAUCCAUGACAAACCAUGGAACGCGAAAUUCUUCUGAUUUAUACAACUCUAAUUUUGUCAAAGUUUCUGGAUCGCAUUUACGUUGCACUUCACUGAGUACUCGAUCCACAUUCUUGUAACAACUGAUGGAUGACGAUCGGGGUUGAUCGGCAGCUUCGUCAAAAUAAACCUGUUCGUUAAACGAUUCGAUUCGUUUAAAAAGCAAAUCGGCAAAUUUUUGGCUAUUGGCAGCAAGGACGUAGUGAUCGCCGCUUAAACAGUCUCUCCUCCACAUGUAAUUGAUGAGUUGUUUGAUUGUUAUAUUGUCGCCUUGUGUCGUUUUGAUCUUCCGAAUCCCCGUCCACGGAGUUAGCCCAGUCGUCCGUUUCUUCCUUUGGUACAUGUCACGAACGCUCUCUAGCUUCUGGGAGCGUUGAAUCGUGAUGUGUUGGGUGUUUUUCUCAAUGGACCACCACCAAUUCGAAAUUUCUACUACAAUGAACACGUGAUAAAGCUUGCCGUUUGUCAAUUGUUUCGAAGAGAGCGGAUUGCUGUAAACGGAGGCAUUUUGAAUCUCCUCUUCAGUUUCACUUAAAUGCAACAUUAUUUUGCGAAGUUGGUCAUACGUUAUCCAAUAGUCAUCUGCUUUUGGUUCAUCCGCCCUAGGAUCAAAGUAUAGUUCCCGGCGAGAGAAAUCGCUAUUGGUACUAAUACUCGGCGACAUUUCUUUGUCGAAGACGUCGCACGCGUGAAACACACUCACUUUAUUUUCCGCUCUUUUUAAAACCAUUGGGCCAAUAGACUGGAAAUAAUUCGAGAGAUUUGUCUGAAAAGGAUGAAAAGCAACUGGUAAAACAGUUUGUUGGUUGUCUUGGUACAGUAGCGGUCCACGAAGUGGGAAGGGGUGGAGCCUGCACCAAAAAGACCCCUUUAGCCUUGUAUUCUUUGAACUUGCGCGGGGGUUUAAACUUCAAACCCUUUUUAACCAGUUUCCUGCCCUAAAUAUAUGAUGGAAAUCGCUGCCGAGUAAAAAAAACCCUUUAAUUAUUGAGAUAACUCGCCAAUCAUAUUUAAAAAUUCCUUGUGAAAUUCAAUCAAAAUUUUGUGAUUUCUAGUCUACUUCAUGUGUUCUAUGUUAUUACGAUUAAACCUAGAAAAUGUUUUUUUAUUUGUAAUGUACUUCUAUUGAUGUAAUAUACGUAAUAUUUUGCUGUGAUGAAUAAGAGAAACAGAAAGUGCGUACGUACACACUUUCUUAAUGAUAAACUUCAUGUAUCGGGUUCAGCAACAAAUAUUGGGCCACGGGAACAGUGCUGAGGGCAACAAGGUCACAUCUCUCUAGCAGUUGCAAGACCCUUCUUGUAUUGUUCUUAAGGGGCGCCACGAAGUGGGACAAACCGGCAAAGUGGGAAGCUUCUCCCCUCGCACGACUUGUCCCACUUCGUGGACCGCUACUGUACCUUCUAAGAUUCAGUGGGAGGGGCCUCUGACUUUUUCCCAGGUUUGGGGCCUGGGAGGAGUGUGCAGACUAAUCCUGCGUUCUUCACAACCAACUUGGGGUAGUUUGUGCCUCGGGGUAUUCGAACCAUUGAGUGCUGCGACUGGUGGUCAAUUUUCAAUAGGACGUUUUCCACAAUUUCUUCACAAGUUUUAGACGCCACACAGAACGCACUAUUCUGCUGCCUGAUACUCUGUCCAGGUCUGAGACAGUGAUCAGUGAUACUCUGUCUGAUCUCUGAUGUCUCAAAUUGAAUCCUAGUGGCAAUUCUAACCAGGAAAACGAAGAAUACGCCAAAAAUACUGAUCUUACUACUAGCUUUAAUAGUUAUUUUUAUUUUUGAGACAGUGGCUUUAAAGUGGCUUUUUUUUACAUUUCAAGUGGCUUUAUUUGCCCAAUUUGGCGCCUUUUUUGGCUUUAGAGAAAAUUAUUUUGUGGCAACACUGCGGCUUCCACUCCCCGGACAGCUAUGGGUUCGACUCCUCCCUGUAGAGGGAUAACAACUGCUGUCCCCUCUAUACUCCUCCCAGCCCCGGUUGUCGAUGCUUUGCUUUUUCUUUCUUUGCGCACAAUGUAGGUGAGAUCAAGUUAAAUCCGCGAUUUUCACAAGACCAGUCCUGUUGAUACAAAAAACAAAUGUUUCUUUUUAUUUUAACUGCUGAAAACGUUGAAAGAUUGUACGGAAUUUUCUGAACGGACGAAACGGAUUGGCGGCUAAUAAGUCAGUCCUCUCUCCCGUGUUUUGUUUGUCACUUUCUGCGAUGGACUGUCGUCUUUUAAUGAAAACACUACGGUCAGCAGUCUGCAGGGCUGGAGAUGACCGCUGAAACUGGACCAUAAAAAGAACUAGCUCCGAGCAUCGAAGAUGGACCCCAACAUUCAGAUAGAAGCGAGUCAUAUCGCCUGAUUUCGCCAGCGGCGCCCUUUUUUAAAAGUUUUUUUUUUUUUUUUACGACGUUGCUACAUGACAUCGACACCGAGAUAAAAAGAAAGCUAUCCCUCACCCACUCGACUUUGCCUUUAGGAUCGGAAAUGGCAUUAAGGUCAAGUCAGAGCAAAGAGAAGGGGAGAGACUUAGGGCCUUAGCAAACCCUUACUCCUUCUCCAAAAACAUAGCGCUAACACUUUGCAUAUAUGACAAUAGAGGUUGUCGCCGCCAACACAAAUCGUUUGUCAUAGGUAAAUGACUGUGUUUCACUUCAGCUUGCAUUUCUUGCCGUCUUUUUAACGCCACUCCCGUGAUGCUUUUGUGUUGGUGGUGCAACAGUCGAUUACCGAUUGCAACAUCCUCAUUGCAUUCAUAGACGGUGGGACAGUGUAAGUUCCAAACACGGUAUAGGCAUUCUCCCUUCAUUGACUAGCUAGCAAAUUGGAAAUGGAUGAAGAGCCAAAGAGUGCAAGAAAGGCUUGAUAGCUGAGAACUGUUCUUUUCCAUUGAUUAUAAAUAGCUGCACUGGCGUUGCCUUGUAGGCUUUUCUGACGACAUUCCAUGACAGUCGUCUUUUGCAACGAGAAGCUUGGAUGCAAUGUACGCAGUCCCGUUUUUCAUCGACGCUGUGUAGAAAUAGAAGCAGUCACGGGGUCACCCCGUGACUGCUUCUAUUUCUAUCCUCGUAUCCUGUACGUAUUUAUGACUUUCUUUUGAAUCCUCAGUGGCGCAAAAGCAAUCGCAACAGUGGAAAAAGAUGAUGCACUUUAAUACGAGUUGCUUAAUUAUGUCGUAGGCUUGUCAAUGAAUUUGCUAACUAUAACGACAUUGACGUAUGAUUCGGUGACCUAAUCGGGCAAUUUAAUUUGUCAAUUUCUGCUACUUGUUACGUGCAUGCAAACGGAGUAUGCUGGAAAGACAGCAUCCACAACAACGACCCUAUUACGGUAUCCAUCUGAUAUAAGGUUCGCUUCCAGCCGAGCUCUAUUCCUGGAACACACAGGCCGUCCAUUCAUCGCCCACUAUAUAGCCAUAACAAACAGCUGAGUCGGACUGACGCAAUUUGAAAACAAUUUGAUUGCCAAACAUCGGCUAUUUAUGUAUCGCGGACGACUGAGCUCCUAGACGAUUUGAACUGCAGUGCUCCCAGCAUCCAAGUUGAAUUCAAUCUUGUAUAGUUUAUUGGCGUGAACAUCAUCACGCACGUUUUAAGAACGUGGAGUGCGAAUGGCGUCUGUUUCUUACGACGCGUGUUUACUUGGACUUGUCUUUAUGCAGAUAUACGAAACCGAACGUUGAAGAAAACCAGAUGAUUAAGUUCAACGCCUUUACACUUUUCGUUCAUGAUAGGGUUGUGACCUUAAACUUUGCUGAACAUCAAAUGUUGUUUUGUUUGUUUUUGUAUAUGAGAUAAAUUAUCUCGGCUCUUCUUGCAUUGCAUCCUGUCGCUCAUCGCAUUUGCUUUUCUUUAUGGGGUGGUGAUAACAUUUUGUGUGAGGGGGUUCAGAUGAAACGUUAGCAACAAGAUCGGUGAAUUUCAUGUUGUUUCGGUUAUUUAAGACUUGAGUUGCCUCGAAAUCCCGCAAAAACAAACAGGAUAUGUAUAAACGGAUUAGAAUUUGGUGUUUGUUCAAACUGUCGCGUAUAGACCUUAUUAAGAUCCAAAGGUAUGGGUCAAGCCUACCCCCUAGCGGCGCGUUUCAGUGUGAAGGGGUGCCGUGAACAGCCGCUUUUUAUUUGGCUUGCCGCAUGUGGCAUAACCCAAAAAAGACGUAGAACCAUGCCACAUGCGGCAAGCCAAAUAAAAAGCGGCUGUUCAUGGCACCCCUUCACACUGAAACGCGCCGCCUAGCCCCUAGUAGGCUUGACCCAUACCUUUGGAUCUUAAUAAGGUCUAUAUAGAAGCGAGUCCCCAUUUCCUGAGAGGUUGCAAU